AACAUUUAUAAGUUGAUGUUUCUAAUAAUUCAUAAAGGAUGCAUUAACCAUUUGUAAAUUAAGUCAUUUAUCAUUUUUAACUAUGUACUCUGGAACUUAAAAGGUUGUU